GUUUGUCUGAUCUUAAGUUUGUAGCAUCAUGAGAUUGUUCAGGCUCAACCUGAUGGGAUGGGAGACUAAAGGGCAUCUGGGCUUAGAUUUGUGAGAACUAAGUUUGUUCACCACUGGGACCCUGAAGUUAUCUGAACUUGGGACGGGAGAGAGGCAAAUGGAUAGCCGCGGAAGCAUGAGAUUGUCCUGUCUGACAGGGAGAAGCAAGGGAUUGAGCGUAUUCACGCUGAAGUACAUGGCAUGAGGUUGGCUGGAUAUUAGGAAAGGAUGCUUGUGGUUGUUCAGGUGUUGAGUGUGAGGCCACAAGCUCGUGCAGGCUGGAAGUGGGAAGUUAUUCAAGUUCAU
rnacentral:lncRNA from 1 species